CUUAUCUUCCUUAUAUUUAUCCUCUUAUCUUCCUUAUCUGACAUGCACAAGGAGCCAAGUUCGAUAAGCUCAGAGUCGAGCUCUCAAUAACUCGGAGCCUUGUAUAAAUUGCUUUCUCUCUUCCGAUAUAAGUUUCCUUAUUGUUGUGUUUUACUCAUUUGCUUCCAAACCGUCGAACAGAAAUUAUCAAUCUUCUAAGGCACAAGCCAUAUCUUGAAUUGUUGGGCACGUCCGAGCCUGAUCAACAACAAGCACUACUGGAAACAGCAAGCGCCGAACAAGUACACUGCCUGUGUCUCUGUGUAGAAAACGUUAUGAAAAGAAAAUAUUUAAUGCCGAAGCAUGUGAUGAAGAAACUCCGACCUUACAAAAAUGAAAUGCUUAGGUUGGCAGAUGGAGGAAAAUGUGGAAGAAGAAAAAAACGGAUACUCGUUCAACGUGGUGAAGGUUUCCUUGGACUAUUACUAAGUCCUAUUUUGGAAAGCCUGGCUGAACUUGUAUAAAAGCCCUGUGAUUACAAUUUAUACAUCAUUUCAACAAUGAACAUCGAGAGUAAAACAUCUCCGCGACAUUGGCGCAUUGAAGAUAUACUUUUGUAUCUCAACAAUAAUGUCAAAAAAGCUACAGCAGAAAAAAUUCUACAUUCUAUUCUUAUAUCAAGUGAUCUAUUAACUUGGAAUCCUCAGGGGGAGAUUGUUUAUCAUGGAAGAGACAUUGCUCGUACUAACAUCGAGAACCUUUUACAAUACGCACUUUUACCAUACAACUCUCACAUUCC
rnacentral:lncRNA from 1 species